rnacentral:lncRNA from 1 species
UUUUUUUUUUUUUGAUAACCGAGAAAUCCGUCUGUGACCCGCCCUUUGGACCAAUCACAGCCUUCUAAACUCGGUGGAUAAUGGGCCCGCCCCUCUACCCUUCUCCACUUAAAUACCGGGCUUCGCUUUUCAUGGUGUGGGGCUUGAACCUGCGACCUAAGCCACAAAUCCUCCACCUUUUGCCACUUGAGCUAGGCCUUGGGGGCCCCAAAAGGACUCUUUUUGUAGAACACUUUUGAGAAACAUACACUUAGACUCACUUUUAAAAAAGCUUGGCCAAACACUAAUUGUUGUUCGAAAGUGCCUGUCAAUUUUAUGUGGUAAAAUACAAACUGCUUCUCACCAAAAGUAUUUUUUGAAGAACACUUCUCUAAAUAAGCUGAUUUUAGAAGUUUGACCAAACAUGCUAUUAAUUUGAAUGUUAAAAAAAAUUAAUUUAUGGAAAAUGCUUAUGUAGUUUAAUGCAAGUGUAAUAUCCUUAUUUUCAAAUUUUAAUUAUUGGGUGAAGAUCAUGGAUUUCUGAUUUGAUUCAAAUUGUCAAAUUUCGGUAUUUAUAGAUUAAUGCAAGUGUAAUAUCCUUAUUUUCAAAUUUUAAUUAUUGGGUGAAGAUCAUGGAUUUCUGAUUUGAUUCAAAUUGUCAAAUUUCGGUAUUUAUAGAUUAAUGCAAGUGUAAUAUCCUUAUUUUCAAAUUUUAAUUAUUGGGUGAAGAUCAUGGAUUUCUGAUUUGAUUCAAAUUGUCAAAUUUCGGUAUUUAUAGAUUAAUGCAAGUGUAAUAUCCUUAUUUUCAAAUUUUAAUUAUUGGGUGAAGAUCAUGGAUUUCUGAUUUGAUUCAAAUCGGUAUUUGCAGGCAUAAUAUGUAACACAACCUUUACAAGGAUACACUAAUUACAAGUUUCACAAAAUCCAGUUACUGAAAUGUUAUAUUUAUAGUUCUUGAUAUGCUCUUUUUGAGAAAAACUUGAUAUGGUCUUAUUCAACAAAUUCCAGUAUCUAGUGAUUGACACUCUUAAGCUCCAUCUGUUCUUUUUGGCUUCUUUGCUGAUCCAACACAUGAAGUGACUCACUAGCUUAUAUAACAUUUUCUUUUAGUAGGGGAGCAUAUAUUUUGCAUCUUCGCUGCUGCAUAUCCCUGUCUUGGAAGUUUUUUUAUUCUCAAUGUGGAGCUUUCGAGUGCUUCAAUUGUUCAAAAAAGAGAUAAAGCUCUUAUUGCUCCUAUCUGUUGUGGUUUGCCAAAGAACCAAAACAUGUCUAUGUUUCUUAUUUAUAGUGUGGUUUUGUAGCAGAAUCCUAGGGAUCUCCUUCCAUUGACAGUAUUGAGUAAAGAAAAUUCAUAUGUUCUUCAUCUUGUCCAUAGUCAUAGCAUUGGUUUUUAUUUCUCGCUGUCCUUUCUUUUCCUUUUUAGUGGGUUGAUCUGAAAUUAUGGGUUUGCAGUUGAACACCUGGAGAGCUAGACAAUUAAGCCUUUUAGGUAUAAGAGAUUAAGAAAAGAAAAAAAAUUAUUCACAAUUUGUUUCUGCUUGGCUCAGAGGAUUAGUAUCUAAUUCACAGUUUUUGCCCAUGCUUGAUAAUAACAGGUCUUGAGGAUAAACAACUAGUCAAGGCAACAAACAUUGAUCAGGAUGUUGGUAAUUUAUGUGGCUCACCCAGUGUUGUCUCCCAGUAUUACUCUGAGGGAUCAGGUUUUAACUUAGAGAAUUGGGAUCUUGCUCAAAUUUCCAAUUUGAACUCUUCAAUCAAUGAAUUACUACAAUCAGAGGACCCAAAUUCUGUGGACUCUGGUUUUAUGAGAUCAACUGCAGUUAACAAGUUGAUAGUGUGGAAGAGUGAUAUUACUAAAGCCCUGGAAAAAACUGAAGUUGAGAUUGAUUCACUUGAGAAUGAACUGAAGACAUUGAUCUCUGGACCUGAAAAUAACCAGCUUGUUCCAUCUGCUUCCUGUUCUCCACCAAAAGAUUGCUAUGCAAAUUCUCAUGAAGAUCAAGGCGCUACUUCUAAUACAGCUUCUAGACCUGCUCCUUUGCUAGUUGAUAUACCGGAUGAUUUGAUGGGAGAGGAAGAGGCUAAUAUACAUGGUAAUGAGCCGACCGAGGUGAAAGUAGAGGACAUUGAUAGCCCUGGUAGUGCAACUUCAAAGUUUGUUCAAUUGCCCUCGGAGAAAAGUGUGGAACCUGUUAAUGCCAUGAGACAUGGUGGAAUGUUGAUUUCAGAUGACAGUAAGUCUAGAAGAUUGAAUGUCAACAUGUGCAGUUUCACUGAGGAGAAGGCUAAGUCUAGAAGUUCAGAUGUAAAGCUAUGCAACUUCAACGAGGAAAAAGGAAGGGACACAAUUGCUUGCUGGGAGAGCUCCCAGCCAACUGCAAAUUAUUCUCAUUCCGCUUCUAAUGGCAGUUUGAAUUGUGGAAAAGAUGCUUUAUAUAAUUUGGUAAUAGCUGCCAACAAAGAUUCUGCAGAAAGAGCAUUUGAAGUAUUUAAGAACCUACUGCCUGCCAGCAAAUGCAGUUUUGAUUUUUCAAGAGCGGUCAGAGGCUCUUCGUUGCAAAUUGAUCCUGCGGUUAAGGAAAGAUUUGUAAAGAGGAAGCAGUUUCAACAGUUCAAAGAAAAGAUAAUUGCCUUAAAGUUUAGGGUACAUCAGCACCUUUGGAAGGAAGAUAUUCGCAUGCUUUCCAUUAGGAAGUUUCGUGCGAAGUCUCAGAAAAAGUUUGACUUCAGUCUGCGCCCUGUGCAGAUAGGACAUCAAAAACACCGUUCCACAAUUCGUUCACGAUUUUCUGCUACUGGUAAGUCAUUUCCUUUUAUCUUCUCUGUACCAUUAACCCUUUGUGCUCCUUUUCCGUCUCUUAAUAUAGCCCUUAAUUAGCUUAGUUGCUAUGUUAUGAGUGCGUAUUUUUAGGUGGAAGCAUUAUUGUUAUAUAGAUUAAAAUUCUGAAAUACCGAAGUGGAAGAAUUUUCAAUAUCUGGAUUUUUGGUCUUUUUCUGUACCCUUACUCUCUUCUUACCUCAAGUUGGUAUUACUAUCUUUUGAGUUGAAUUGUGUUUGUGCUGUUUUUAUUCAAGGUUUGGGUGCAGUAUUCAACAUUGUGAUCCAAAGUUAAGGAGUAGUUAGGUGAAUCAAAGUUAAGCUCUACAAGUCUUGAUGAUUUGGAGCGAAGUGAACUCAAUUUGUUGUUCAUAGCCUGGGAGUAGUCAGACAUAGUUAUAGCUCAUACUAACCAAGAGUGGAGGUUGAGGAAGAGAGUUUCGUGCUCUGGUCCUUUUUUGUAAAUGUCAUGGUAUUGUCCUCAUGAGUUGAACUCUAUUUUUAAAAUCUAGAUUGAGUUUCUGCUUCAAGUUUCAGUCUCCCGUGCAUGUGCCAGCAUUGUAGAAAGAAUUGCUGUUCAAUUUGGUAACUUCAAAAUUAUGUAAGGGAUGUUUAAUACUUAAUGUGGUUCAUGUAGUCUAGCUUUAAUUAAAAAUUAUUGUUGCCCAACUUUUGCUGUAAGGUCCUCUCUACUGAGAGGGAAGUUCUCCCCCUUUUUUCCUUCUGAAAACUUGUUUUGUUAUCCCAGUUCAGUAAUUAUACCCAUUUGCUUUUCAGUUGGUUUAUUAAGUUCUAUUACAACAAAAACUGUCACCAUUCUAAACAAGUUGGUUGGCUAUAUGAAUCUACCACGGACCAUAUUCCCCAUUUAAAUUCAUCUCAGGCAGAAAACAUAUAGAGUAAAAGUGAAAAGUACUGGAAGUUCUUUACAUGUCCUACUGGCAUAAGACUACCUAAUACCUAAGUUAAAUGUAUCCCCCCGCCCCCCCGAGAGUUCUGUUGCUUCUAGUAUGCUGACUGCUGCAUGACUAAUUAGAAAUCUCUAUUGGGAGGGGACCUCAACCUCAUGCUUUUUGUUUUUUUAGGUUGGUCAUUAUGCCAGUUAUCUUUUUGACAGCUUAUUGAGUUGUCUCGGUUUUGCUGACUGUUGCAUGACUAAUUUACGGUAUCCAAGUUGGAUUGUAUUGGACACAACUUUCUUUGAUUUGAAUUUAUUUCACCUUCUCUUAAAUCAGCAAUAAUCCUACUUUUAAUCAUGUCUGAUAUAAGCGAGGUUACUUCUCAAAUUUGAUUGUGGACGCUUGCAAUAAAUUUCAGAAGGACAAGAAUGGCGUGUACUAAAUGGCACUUUUGAUCUUUUUGUUUGUAAUUUAGUUAUCUGCAGUACCCGUGUCCUUUUUUUACUUGGGUUUGAUGCACUUGAGCUGAGGGUCUUUCAGAAUCAGCCUCUCUACCCCCUCGAGGUAGUGGUAAGGUUUGCGUACACUCUACCCUCCCUAGACCCCACUUAGUGGGAUUUCACUGGGUAUAUUGUUGUUGUCGUAGUCCCCCUUUCUGUUUUUUUUUUGGUUUUCUGAAAAAUGUUUUAGGAAGGUCAGUAGUAUUUAAGUAAAAGGAUUGUAAGAUGUUUGUAUGUGUUUGUGAUAAUUUAUUAGUUUGUUUCUAAUUAAACUAGCGCUUUAAUUAUUGGUCCCAAGGGAAUGACUGGGGUUGGCUGACUGGUUGGGGCAUUGAAGUGAUGACAACAAUCAUAGAUAGCAAUGUGUUUGUGAUUAUUUGUAAGUUGUUUGUUUCUAAUUGAACUAGCGCUUUAAUAUUGGUCCCAAGGGGGGAUGACUGGGGUUGGCUGACUGUUGGGGCAUAAAAGUGAUGACACCAUGCAUAGAAGUAACAACCUAACAAACCCAGUUUUAAAUCCCAAAUAAUAACACGAGAGAUCCCAUAUGCACCUGGCUUGGAUACCCUUCAUUUAAAAUAAUUGCUACUUCUGUAAUAUCUGCUUCUUCUGAAGCCUGUAUAUAUGUGUGGAGCUGUUUUCUUCUUUGGCUUUAGCAUGCCUACUGUCUUCAUUUGCGUUCAUGUUGUCUUCUUUGCAAUACUGAUUUGAAAAAAUGUUUUUUGUUAAUGCAGUUGGAAGCUUAAGUCUGGUACCAUCAUCUGAAAUAUUGAACUUUGCAAGCAGGCUACUCUCAGAACUUGGGGCAAAGGUCUACAGGAACACAUUAAGGAUGCCUGCUUUAAUUUUAGAUCAGAAGGAGAGGACAAUGUCAAGGUUCAUUUCAAAGAACAGUCUGGUGGCAAAUCCCUGUGCUGUCGAGGAAGAAAGGGGUCUGAUCAAUCCGUGGACCCCUGAGGAGAGAGAAAUCUUUAUUGACAAGCUUGCUACCUUUAGGAAAGACUUCAGGAAGAUAGCUUCUUUUCUUGAUCACAAAACAACUGCUGACUGCAUUGAGUUCUAUUACAAGAAUCACAAAUCAGAUUGUUUUGAGAGAACAAGGAGGAAACCAGAUUACUCUAAACAAGCAAAAGUUUGUUCAGCAAAUACCUACCUUGUUGCUUCUUCUGGGAAAAGAUGGAACCGUGAAGCUAAUUCUGUUUCUCUCGAUAUCUUAGGUGCUGCAUCAGCAAUUGCAGCUAAUGUGGAGGAUAGUAUUGAAAUUCAGCCAAAGGGUAUGUCAAAGUACAGUGUUCGAAUGGUCAAUGAGUUGGAGAGGUCAAACAGUCUUGAUGUAUGUCAUAGUGAAAGAGAAACAGUGGCUGCUGAUGUUUUGGCUGGUAUCUGUGGAUCCUUAUCAUCAGAAGCUAUGAGUUCUUGCAUUACGAGUUCAGUUGAUCCUGGUGAAGGGAACCAGGAAUGGAAGCACCUGAAAGUGGGUUUGUCGACCAGAUUGCCCCGGACUCCUGAGGUUACCCAGAGUGUUGAUGAUGAAACCUGUUCAGAUGAGAGCUGUGGGGAGAUGGAUCCUACUGAUUGGACAGAUGAAGAGAAAUCAACCUUCGUCCAAGCUGUGUCAGCUUAUGGAAAGGAUUUUGUUAUGGUCUCAAGAUGUGUUGGAACGAGAUCCCGUGAUCAGUGCAAGAUCUUCUUUAGCAAGGCUAGGAAGUGUCUUGGAUUAGAUAAGAUUCUUCCUGGAUCUGGCAAUUUGGAGAGGCUUAAUGUUAAUGGUGGAAGUGAUCCUGAUGCUUGUGUUAUGGAGACUAAGCUGUUGUGUAAUGAAAAAUCAAGUUUGAUGUUGGAAAAUGUAUCUGAUUUAUGUAUGGAUGCAGGGAUUUUAAAGCCUGAUUUGACCAGUUCUGAUGACAAAGACGAGGCUGGAGAACUGGAUUCUGUAGAUACUGAACUUGUGUCUAAGAAUUCAGUUCAGGUAAACUGUCAUGUAGAUAAGCAAGAGGUGGAGUUUAACAGGGACUGUGAGAUUCAGAUUGGUGUUUGUAUUGGAAGUGGUCAAGGGGAUGAGAAUAUGGUUACAGUUUCUCGGGAAGGUGUUGAAAUUGAUGGAGAUGCCUCAGAGAUUGGCCUGCCUUACAUACCGUGUGAAGUUUCUGCCAAGCAUUUAGGGGAAGAAAUCAGGGGAGUAGUUUCUUCGCCUGAACAUGUUUUGAAAAAUAGAAAAGCAGAAAUAACUGAAGUAGGUAGGUCAAACUGCUCUUUGGAAGACAGAAAGCCCAAUGUGGUGUUGUUUGGGAAUAAUUCUCGUCUUGCUGCUGCUAGGGGAGGGGGAUUAUGUCCUCUUAAUGGAUCCCGGAAUAUGACUCAGUUAGAAUCUGAUUCUGAGUGUAAGCUAGAUGUGAAUUACUUGGAAAGCAAUAUUUCAUUUCAGAGGAAACAGAUGUCUGAAGCUUCUAAUGCUGAUAAAUUAUCAGAGCUGGAACUUGAGAAUGUUGGUGAUAAGCAGUGUGAGAAUGCUACUCAGUCAGCUGAGCAGCCCUUGUCGAGCACUUCACGGUUAUCCCAGGUUGAAUCCUGCCAGAUUCUUGGCAGCUAUUUAUUGGGAGAGUCUGCUCUCACGGAGAAUGGAGAUCCAGGCUGCAGAGCAUCGGCUGCAUUGCAAGAAAUCCAGAAGGUGGGUAGGAAUCUACAAUUCGAUACAUUUUCUACAACUGGUUGCUUUCUCCAGAAGUGCAGUGGUACAAAUCGCGGUGGUUGUUCUGUUUCUGAUCUGAUUCCCAACCGAGAACAGACAGGAAGUAGUUCAUCAAUUGUGGAGAAACCUUGUAGGAAUGGCGAUGUGAAAUUGUUCGGACAGAUUCUCAGUAAACCAUGCCCCAAGGCAAAUCCCAGUUCUAAUGCAGAGCGGAGUGAUGGUAGCAAUCAGAAGUUGAAAGUUGGUAGUGAUUCCUUUAGUGCAAGUCAUAGUUUAGAAGGCAAUUCAGCCACUGCAAAAUUCGAGCGAAAUAACUUCCUGGGUUCUGAGAAUCAUCCAGUGAGGAGUUUUGGUUUUUGGGAUGGGAAUAGAAUACAGACAGGGUUUUCUUCGUUGCCCGAUUCUGCUAUCCUGCUGGCUAAAUAUCCUGCGGCAUUUGGUAAUUAUGCGAUAGCUUCCACCAAAAUGGAGCAGCCUAGUUUGCAUGGGGUUGUGAAGACCGCUGAGCGGAAUCUGAACAGUCCCCCUGUGUUUGCAGCAAGAGAUUCAAGUAGCAACAAUGGAGUAGCAGGAUCAGAUUAUCAAGUGUACAGAAAUCGAGAUGUGCAGCCUUUUACUAUAGAGAUGAAACAGAGGCAAGACGCGGUGUUGUCUGAGAUGCAAAGAAGAAAUGGGUUUGAUGUUGUGGCUGGUAUGCAACAACAAGCAAGGGGGGUGGUUGUUGGAAGAGGAGGGAUUCUGCAGUGCACUGGUGUUGUGUCAGAUCCGGUGGCUGCCAUAAAAAUGCAUUAUGCAAAAGCUGAACAAUUUAGUGGGCAGGCGGGAAGCAUCAUGAGAGAGGAUGAUUCUUGGAGAAGUAAAGGAGAUGUGAGCAGGUAGUUGAUUGGAAAGGAGGCCAGAGUGUGGUCUCCCUGUGGCAAGUGUCUUUUUGCCAGAAUGUACAAUAGUUUUUGUAAGUUUAAUCCAGGAAACCAUAGGGCAGUAGACUAGACGGUUACAGUUGUUGCCGUCUUUUUGGUUACAGAAUUCUAGGGUCUGUAAUAUUUGAAGUAGCUUUGUAUUUGUUGUAUUUGAUGGGGAAUACAGCAAUAAAUUAUCAAGAGUUUGGUAGGUGGAAGAAGUUAAGUAGCAAUUCGCAUUUUUGAUGUUCCAAUUUUUCCCCCUUGCCCUCUUGUUUUGUUAUUAUUGUCAAGUGGCUGUUUAUUUUGUUGUGAAAAAGUUGUAAAUCCAAUGACAUGCAUAAUAUUGUUAUUGACAGCUGGGCUCAAAAAAAUAAUUAGCUUAAAAAAAUAGUAAGAGGAGGGACUCUUUUUUCCAAGCCAGGUCCCACCUCACCUAUUAGAGUGAUGUGAUGGUGAUACAAAGCUGCCCCCAGCAUAUGCUGUAAAGAUUCCACUUUUGUUUCUUGUUUUUUUCCCUUCUUUUGACCAAUAAAAAGAUUUAGGUUAUAAGUUGGGAGAUAUUGUAGCUGGAGUUUGGCUACUUCUUCUCGUGUUUGAAGGAUUGCAGAAUCCAUCUCUCGUCUAAUUUACAUUAUCUGAAAGAUGAAGUAGUUUACUUUGAAUUGAGACAUCUACCAAGGUAGCCUUGUUUAAUUCAAUUGUCAAACACGAUCCUCUCUGACACUCUAUAUUAGCCAAAUCUGAAGCAUUGUCAAUCGGAAAAUGAUGAGUAGAUGCUUAAGUAGAAUAGGCUAACUUGUGAUUUAAUGGGGUUGGGUUAAGAUCUUUGGGGCCUAUUUAAGAAUUUUUUUUAGACCGGCUCAGUUAAGCCUGCUAGUCUGUAGGGCUUUAGCAAUAUGGGUUGGGCCGGCUUGUGGGCUAAAUAAAAAAAUAAGUAAAAGUUGCAUAAAUCCGUAAUAUUAAGAGCUAAUUACAUUUUAUUCAUAUUUUAUUUAAUUUAUUAAAAUCAAAUCAAAUAAAAUAUGAUAUAUAUUUAUUGGUUUUGGUUUGAUUUGGUUCGGUUAUUGAGUUAUUAACCAUACACAAAAACAAAAGAAAUAAUUCAUUCAAAGGGAAAAAAAGAAUAAUUCAUUCAAGAAGCAAAAUAGUUAAAAUGUCUGACAUUACAAAACUUUCGAUCACUAAAUUUAAUAUGAAUCAAACUUCAAAAUUCACCACUUUUGGCCUAGACAAGGAUAAGAUAGCCAUAUUCCUAAUCUCACCAUAGACACUCAUAUACAUGAAAUCAAAAUGAUAAAUGCUUUCGUCUUACGCAUAUUUACUUUCAUAAAUAAAUUUUGAUGAAAGCAUUAUGUUGAGAAUAGUUUUGAGAAUAAUGCUAUGCUGUUACCUCAUCCAUAUCCAUCACACCACUUACUAGUGCCUGAUAUAUCUUGCAAAUCUUCCUCAUUGUAUUGCACUCUGAGUUGGUGUAUCUGAACAAGUAAAAUUCAACCAUCAAUGAUAAAAUUUCUUACAAGACAAAAUGUGUUAAUUAUAGCAGAAAAGUACAGGAAAGGGCACAACUUUCAAGAAGUAAAUUGGCUCGUUUGGGAGUUCGUCUGGUGGAUUCAGUGGAUGGUGGAGUUAUUAUUCAAAAUGGUUCAGAAUCCUCUCAUGUGAGGAUGUUAAGGUAAAGCAACAUGAUGAUCCAACCUAGGUUGAAUUGAAGGAAGCAGUCAUUAGGAAGACUUUUAGGCUUUCCCCAAAGGGGAUAUGGUAUGCUUAGUUACCAGAACCAUUUGUGUCCUAGAUAUCGAUGGAUUGAGGCAGAAGAUUCUAUCUUGGUAUUCGAUUCAUCCAGGGGCCACUAAGAUGUACCGUAACCUAUAACAAGUCUAUUGGUGAAAUGGUAUGAAGAAGGAUAUUGCAAAAUUUAUGGCUAAGUGCCCAAAUUGCCAACAGUUAAGGUUGAACAUAAAAA